CAGUCGCCGCGGGAAUACGAAGGGUGCAAGCGUUAAUCGGAAUUACUGGGCGUAAAGCGUGCGUAGGCGGUGAGUUAAGUCUGCUGUGAAAUCCCCGGGCUCAACUUGGGAAUGGCAGUGGAUACUGGCUCGCUAGAGUGUGUCAGAGGAUGGUGGAAUUCCCGGUGUAGCGGUGAAAUGCGUAGAGAUCGGGAGGAACAUCAGUGGCGAAGGCGGCCAUCUGGGACAACACUGACGCUGAGGCACGAAAGCGUGGGGAGCAAACAGGAUUAGAUACCCGCGUAGUCCCUGUCUCUUAUAC
rnacentral:rRNA from 1 species